rnacentral:rRNA from 1 species
UACGUAGGUGGCAAGCGAUACUCGGAAUCACUAGGCGUAAAGCGCAGGUAGGAGGUUUAGAAAGUCUCUUGUGAAAGCUCCCGGCUUAACUGGGAGAGGUCAAGGGAAACUACUAGGCUAGAGUGCGGUAGAGGUAGCUGGAAUUCCCGGUGUAGCGGUGAAAUGCGCAGAUAUCGGGAGGAACACCAAUGGCGAAAGCAGGUAACUGGACUAUUACUGACACUCAACUGCGAAAGCUAGGGGAGCAAACAGG